UACGUAGGGUCCGAGCGUUGUCCGGAAUUACUGGGCGUAAAGAGCUCGUAGGUGGUUUGUCGCGUUGUUCGUGAAAACUCACAGCUUAACUGUGGGCGUGCGGGCGAUACGGGCAGACUGGAGUACUGCAGGGGAGACUGGAAUUCCUGGUGUAGCGGUGGAAUGCGCAGAGUAUCAGGAGGAACACCGGUGGCGAAGGCGGGUCUCUGGGCAGUAACUGACGCUGGAGGAGCGAAAGCGUGGGGAGCGAACAGG
rnacentral:rRNA from 1 species